AUGACCAUUCUUCUGAUGAUUGGACAUUCUUAUUGCUCAAUAUCCUUCACCCCGCCUUUUGUGGCGUUUCUCCCAGGCCACCUGCCUCUCAGGAUUUCUAGGACUCCUCUGUCUUUUCCUCUUCUUUCUUCCUUGCUCUUCUACAUCCCCCAGUUCCUGUGGAUUUUUUUGUUUCUUGCUCACAGUAUUCCAGCUGCUUCUCUGUUCCAAGUCUUCACCUUUUACCUCUUUUUUUUAUCUUCUUCAGCCAGAACAACCAGGAAUGGACAUUAUUUGAUUUGGCCAGCACCAGCAAUUUUUUUUUUUUAAACCAUAGCUCUGUUUUAUAUGUCAUUUCAAAGUAUCCAUCAUACUUAGGAGAUGCUGCACACACCUGUCAAUUGAACAGAGAAAAUAUGCUUCUUUCCUAUUUGUCUCUCUUUGCUUCAAGGACCAGGCAACACUAAUCUUCCGCAAUAUUCUUUUCCCAAUAAGAGCUCACAUCCAAUCUGAAUGCUAAAUAAUGUUGUCACGAGGUUGCAUGGGCACUGGUUAAGAUCUAUGCCCAAACUAUAAUGAAUCUCUCUUCUACAUAACUGUGAUUGUGGCCAAAAUUGGUGAGCAACCCAUCCUCAAGGGAGCAGUGGGAGGAGACCAGAAUAUUGUGUUGGAUUCUGUCCUGGACACAUCUUCGGCUAGACUCCUGGAGCAGUUUAAAUCAAGGGCUGGGCUGAGCAGGCCUGAAUGGCUUGCAAAUGACAGAUUUAUGGAGGGAGGCCUAAUUAGAUCACGGUAAUUUGUAGUACGACAGUAUCUUUUGCUCAAGAUCUCAAAGCAAAUGUCUGCCUUGAUAGGUGGGCAAAACAAAGACCCACAAAUGUCAAGGGAAAGUCUCAAUUUCACAAAAUAAAUCCUUGGACAGCCCGGGAUAAGAGUCACACCUCGCAUUUGGAAAACAUUUUACAGUUUUGCUCUGCAUUCACAUAAUUUUGCCUCCUUUGAGUGGCCCAAGUUCCUGCUGUGAAAGUUAGAGUGGUGGUCAGUGUUUCUCUCAUUUCAGAAAAGAGGAAGAUGGAGACACUGACUGGCUGAGUGACCUGCCCAAGAUCAGCGCCAGUAGUAGGGCUGAUUUUUGGAUACCCUGUGUGGAGAAAUGAAGUGAAGUGACUUUUAGCAGGAAAAGAAGAAGAAGGUCUUGAGAUAAUGAGCUUCUGUUUCUAACGACUUGGCAGAAAGGAGCAUGGCUGAGGAAUACAAGUCCCAGUGAAGAUUCAUCUAGGUCAAAGGCUUAGAAUGGAUUGCAAACCUGUUUGGGGAGUAGUUGUCCCCUGGUAUCCUUGAAAGAUUAGUUCCAGGAUCCCUGAGGAUACCAAAUCUGUGGAUGCUCAAAGUCUCUUAUGUCAAAUGGUGUAGGGCUAGCCCACAGUCUAUGCACAUGCUUUAAAUCAUAUUUCAGUUCAGUUCAGUUCAGUCGCUCAGUCGUGUCUGACUCUUUGC
rnacentral:lncRNA from 1 species